UUUUUAUUUUACUAAGUACAUAAAUUUCGUAUAAAAGAAUUUCAAAUUUAUUUCAACUGAAUAAAUCUAACAAGUAUAAAUAGAACUAAUUAUAAAUAGAUAAAGUGAGAAAAGAGGGAAACUUCAAGGGUAAUUGAGUAAUUACUACAUAUGAAUAGCAGUUGAAGAGCUGCCGGUGCUAAUGAUGGAUAUUAUAAAUUUUGAAACAUAUUUGGGUUCAGAAACACCCAGAAAAGCCAGGAAGCUAACAAGCAUAAGCAAUACAGCACAACACAACACAACAACACCCGUAUCCGAUUUGCAGCUGUCAGGAUACUGAUGCAUUAGUUUUCCUGAUGCGGAGCUAUUAUUCAUGAGACAAGACAUUUGGAGGAAUAAGUGAGUUCUGAAUUUCAUAGCAAUUAAUUGGAAAAAAAGGAAUUUUCUAAAACAUUUUUUAUUGUUUCCUCUUAAUUUAUUAAAUUCAACUUAUGAGAUAAGUGUUAGAUGGGUAAAAAGACUGUACUUCAUAGACAUUGUAACUUCCCCAAUGAGUUCUCUUUGCCUUAUGUGAGAAUAUGGCAUGGAGGGGCUUCCUCUAAAACCUGAUUCUUGCAACUCUUUUUUGUUUUUUAUUUAUUUUUUAACUCCUAGGUUGGUUUUUUCCUGUGUACAUUACUUUCUUCUUUCUUUCUUGUGGCUUUGGGUAUGAUUUCCUUAAAGUUUGGAUUUAUCCUGUCAUUGAGACUCUA